UACAGAGGAUGCAAGCGUUAUCCGGAAUGACUGGGCGUAAAGGGCGCGUAGGCGGAUGGCACAGUCAGAUGUGAAAUUCCCGGGCUUAACCUGGGGGCUGCAUUUGAUACGUGUGAUCUAGAGUGAGGAAGAGGGUCGUGGAAUUCCCAGUGUAGAGGUGAAAUUCGUAGAUAUUGGGAAGAACACCGGUGGCGAAGGCGGCGACCUGGUCCUUGACUGACGCUGAGGCGCGAAAGCGUGGGGAGCGAACAGG
rnacentral:rRNA from 1 species